GGGAGCGCGGCGGUGCUGUGCGCCCCGGCUGCGGAAACAAAAACGUGCGAUACCUUCCUUCGGGCUGACCGCCUUUCUUCUGCAGAAGAAGUGUCCCCGUUGUCCCCCACGGAGCGGAUGGCGAGGGGACGCGGAGCAGGACACGACCCAGGCGUCACCUGCAACAUACCACACCCUACCAGCGUCAGAAACAAGACUGUUAAACCACAGUAAAAACCAUGGGUCAUCAUCCAGUCCUGUGAAAAGAUAAAGUGAAUCCACUCCCGGCUCCUCUGCGGCCUCUGAGGGUUCAAGGUCCUUUCCUGUUAAUGCAAGAUAUAUCACUCCUUAUUUUGUAACUGCAAGAACAGGAAUCUCUGUGUUCCUCUUUACGUGAGAAACCAUUCUUCCCAUUGCCCGUCCCUUGCAACUACAGGAUCACAAAAGGUAUUUCUUAUAAGGAAAAUUCUUGUUUACCUGCGCAAAGGAGGUAAGCUGCACUCACACAGCAUUGAUCAGAUAGCUCAGAUGACCACAAAUACUGACAUUACAGUAGUAUUUUGUACUGUUGUUAGUUUGUACGCAGCAGUGGUUCACACACAGGGCUAGACCCUUUUUCUUCUGCCACUAAUUAUUGUGGAUGCCAAAUUAAUAGACUGUUAUUAUGGGCAAAACCAGUGAAAAUCAAGUGAACAAAAUCAUGCAAGUAAACAAAGGCCUCAAUAACUGCUUUCUAACGUUACCUUACUUCAGAGGGUUUUGGAUGAAAUUGUGGUUCUACCAGAUAUUUUUAAUCUCGGUCCUUUCUCUAAAGCCUCACAUGAUGUAAGAUCAAGUCUGGCUUCAUUCUGCUCAAGAGGAGUGACACCGUUUUCACACAGACUCGAGUUCUGGCCUUUGGAUUUUAUUCAGAUUAAAUCUCUGCUAGAGAAAGACCUCAUAGCCGGCUAUCCUAGCGCUGCUGAACAACACUGAUUUUAUG